AUUGAACGCUGGCGGCAGGCCUAACACAUGCAAGUCGAGCGAGCGGCGGACGGGGGAGUAAUGUAUGGGGACUGCCCGAUAGAGGGGGAUAACUACUGGAAACGGUGGCUAAUACCGCAUACUAUCGGAUAACCCAUAUGGGAUUAGCGAGUAGGUGGGGUAAAGGCUCCACCAGGCGACGAUCCGUAGCUGGUCUGAGAGGAAGACCAGCCACACUGGGAUUGAGACACGGCCCAUACUCCUACGGAGGCAGCAGUGGGGAAUUUUGGAAAAUGGGGGAAACCCUGAUCCAGCCAUCCCGCGUGUGCGAAGAAGGCCUUCGGGUUGUAAAGUACUUUUGGCUGGAAAGCGGUACCUGCAGAAUAAGCACCGGCUAACUACGUGCCAGCAGCCGCGGUAAUUC
rnacentral:rRNA from 1 species